UUGACCUCAAAUCGGGGAGAUUUCCCAU
rnacentral:rRNA from 1 species